rnacentral:rRNA from 1 species
UACGGGGGGUGCGAGCGUUGUCCGGAAUCACUGGGCGUAAAGGGCGCGUAGGUGGCGUGAUAAGGGUGUGGUGAAAGCCCGGGGCUCAACCCCGGGUCUGCCAUGCCGACUGUCAGGCUCGAGUACUGUAGGGGCAGGCGGAAUUCCGGGUGUAGCGGUGGAAUGCGUAGAGAUCCGGAGGAAGACCGGUGGCGAAGGCGGCCUGCUGGGCAGUUACUGACACUGAGGCACGAAGGCCAGGGGAGCAAACGGG